GAAAGACGUCUGUCUGCUGGGGUGUCAGGGAUCGCCGUCCAAGAGGCACACACUCGGAAGCAUGCUCUGGAGAGACAAAGGAGGUUGGAGUUUCUCGAGAGGAAAGAGGGAAUUUACGAAGAUGUGCUUCAGCCAAAGAAGGAAAUUAAUCGAGAAGGAGGAAGAUGGCACCUAGAUAACAGAUGAUUCAACAAAGGGAAUGGCCAAGGGACAUCUCAGGGUAAUAUUCAGCUUCCAGACUGUCACGGGGGUUUGGAGUUCUCUGGGAGGAAUUCUCCAGCAGGAGCCCAAAAUGGAAUCUCUGUAUUUGAGUACACAUAAGUAAUGUUAUUGAUUUUGAAUUCUUUUGGGGUAAAGGGAAGUAAUAAUUAAAACACAGAAAAAUGGAAAACCAAACAACAAAGCAAGGAUUAACUCCAGAAAGAAAGAGAGGACGGUAGAAGAAAGGAGGUGGCGUCGCCAUAGACUUUUUGGCUUAAUAAGGCAUCGUAUUCGGAGUCGUAGUAUUGUAAACACCGCUUAUUAACUUAGGAAUUGUGACCCAACUCUUGGGAGAUGUGUCAAGAUUGGGGUGGGAGGUGGAGAAGGAACACUAAAUCCUUCUCUCCCUCAGCAAGAAGUCAGCUGUGUCUAAAUUGGGCGAAUUAGGAUUUAGCACUAUAUGCAUAUUAGAAAUGAAGAGGUUAAAAGCAAGGGGAAAAGCUAGGUGAUUUGAGAGGGCUUGCCUCUGAGGAGGGGCCGGGGAGAUGAUGAAGGGCAGGGCACUGACACUUUGUGUAGUGUUGGUACCAUUUGACUUUGAAAACUACGCACAUGUGUUUACACAGAGAGAGACAGAGGGGGUGGGGUAAACUUUGGGUCCAUGUCUUUCCACCGUAUCACAAGACUGAACCAGUUCCCUUUUCGAUGUGCAACUUUCUAAGUUUCCUCUCCCAGUGUUUCUAGAGAACGGGGUGCUCUCCUCCGUCUGCCACCCGUGCAGCAGGCCGCAUAGGACCCUUGAAACCUCUACUUCCUUCCCUCGGAUCCUCGCAGGGGGCCCGGUUCCGGGUCUCAUGGGGGGCCCAGUUCUGGGGGUCAUGGUUCCUGGGGGCAGACUCCGUUAGAGCAUGAAGGCUGAUCUGGCUUCCUGCUUUCCCUAGAAGGCAUCUGGUUUCCUGGUAGCUGUGGAGAGACCCACUGUGGGAAGCUGCUGGAAGCCCAGGACUCAGGACCCCUGUGCACAUGAGCUGGCCUCACCCUGGUGGGCGCUUGGACUGCCAACGAGGGACACAGGCUGGUGGAGGGACUAGAGGAGGUCUUAGCGGCCAAUGACAUGCCUGGUUUGUUGGGUUUUGGGAAAGCCAGCUGGGCUCAGAAUCAGCCUGGUGGGUUUGUCUGGAUUGUCCCCAGGGCAAGAGGACUGAGCCGACCCUCAGUGGUCACAGAGCAAAGCUGACCUGUAUCAGGCAAACCAAUCUGUCCCCCUCACCGCCUACCGGCCCAGCCACCCUGUUGGUGCUCACAUUUGAGGACUGACAUCUGGGCACAGCCAGAGUUGUUUUACUUCCUGUCUUACAGGUGGCUUCCUUGACACGGAUGGACCUCUUAAAUGGUCACCCAUGCUGUCUGGGCUUCUCUCAAUUGAAUGGGACUAAUUCAGCUCCUACAUCUUAGAGAUUCCGGAUAAAGCCUCCACUGCUCC